rnacentral:rRNA from 1 species
AUUGAACGCUGGCGGCAGGCCUAACACAUGCAAGUCGAGCGGAUGAAGGGAGCUUGCUCCUGGAUUCAGCGGCGGACGGGUGAGUAAUGCCUAGGAAUCUGCCUGGUAGUGGGGGAUAACGUCCGGAAACGGGCGCUAAUACCGCAUACGUCCUGAGGGAGAAAGUGGGGGGUCUUCGGACCUCACGCUAUCAGAGGAGCCUAGGUCGGAUUAGCUAGUUGGUGGGUUAAAGGCCUACCAAGGCGACGAUCCGUAACUGGUCUGAGAGGAUGAUCAGUCACACUGGAACUGAAACACGGUCCAGACUCCUACGGGAGGCAGCAGUGGGGAAUAUUGGACAAUGGGCGAAAGCCUGAUCCAGCCAUGCCGCGUGUGUGAAGAAGGUCUUCGGAUUGUAAAGCACUUUAAGUUGGGAGGAAGGGCAGUAAGUUAAUACCUUGCUGUUUUGACGUUACCAACAGAAUAAGCACCGGCUAACUUCGUG